GGCGAACGCUGGCGGCGUGCCUAAUACAUGCAAGUCGAGCGAAGUUUUUCUGGUGCUUGCACUAGAAACACUUAGCGGCGCACGGGUGAGUAACACGUAAAGAACCUGCCUCAUAGACUGGGACAACUAUUGGAAACGAUAGCUAAUACCGGAUAACAGUAUUUCUCGCAUGAGAGAUAUUUAAAAGUUGGUUAUGCUAACACUAUGAGAUGGCUUUGCGGUGCAUUAGCUAGUUGGUGGGGUAAAGGCCCACCAAGGCGACGAUGCAUAGCCGACCUGAGAGGGUGAUCGGCCACACUGGGACUGAGACACGGCCCAGACUCCUACGGGAGGCAGCAGUAGGGAAUCUUCCGCAAAGGGCGAAAGCCUGACGGAGCAACGCCGCGUGAGUGAAGAAGGAUUUCGGUUCGUAAAGCUCUGUUGUUAGGGAAGAAUGGAUAUGUAGUAACUAUACAUGUAAGAGACGGUACCUAACCAGAAAGCCACGGCUAACUACGUG
rnacentral:rRNA from 1 species